CCUACGGGCGGCUGCAGUGGGGAAUAUUGGACAAUGGGGGGAACCCUGAUCCAGCCAUGCCGCGUGUGUGAAGAAGGCCCUCGGGUUGUAAAGCACUUUCAGUGAGGAAGAACGCCUGGUGGUUAAUACCCAUCAGGAAAGACAUCACUCACAGAAGAAGCACCGGCUAACUCCGUGCCAGCAGCCGCGGUAAUACGGAGGGUGCGAGCGUUAAUCGGAAUUACUGGGCGUAAAGCGCGCGUAGGUGGCUUGAUAAGCCGGUUGUGAAUGCCCCGGGCUCAACCUGGGAACGGCAUCCGGAACUGUCAAGCUAGAGUGCAGGAGAGGAAGGUAGAAUUCCCGGUGUAGCGGUGAAAUGCGUAGAGAUCGGGAGGAAUACCAGUGGCGAAGGCGGCCUUCUGGACUGACACUGACACUGAGGUGCGAAAGCGUGGGUAGCAAACAGGAUUAGAUACCCCAGUAGUC
rnacentral:rRNA from 1 species